UCCACCAAAACUGCUGGCUACGUGAAGGAGAAUGUGAUCUUCAUGAUCACCGACGAGCUCGAGGUGUACCCGACUUCGACCAUCAAGAGCAUCGUCCUGCUCAACAAGCUCAAGGUGAAAGCUAUGGCCGAUCUCGAGAGCAUCGAGGUCAGCGUUGGCGCUCACGAGGCCUUGUCUCUGCUCAAGGCGUCGCUGGUUUCAAAGACUGUGCUCAACGACGUCUUCAAAUCCUACGUCUCGCGGCGAUCCUUUUAGAUCAAUCAUGUCUUCUCUUUCGUGAAUUUAAUCUAUAGUUGCUACGACGUUUGUGGAGCUUUCUUUA